GGUGCUGUGAAAAAGUACUGCAAAAAAAGCCUUUGUCCAGAACUGACCUGCCUCGGGCAAGGCAGGCUGCCAUCCGUCCCUCUCAGCAGGAGCUGUGCAAAAACAGCUCCCUGCUGGAAAGUGUUGGAUGUUGUAAAGGGCUGAAGAGAAAUCAAAAGCAAAUCAAGUACAGAAGAAAAGCAUUUCCUUAUCCAUGCCAGCUGAGGAUCUGUAGGGGAGGAAGAAAUAGGAAUGCCCUAUAAAUAUGACUGCCUAGCAAAAGAUGAGCCCAUUUGGGCCUCCCAGGAUUUAUGGCAGAAGGAAAUGCCCAAGCCGACGCAUUGGCAUCAGGAGCAUCUGAUGGAAUGGAGGACUCAAGUGGGUUCCAGCAAAGAAUGUGAAGCCCUACUGCGCCUUGAAGCCUGCUGAAGCCAGUGACCCUGCAAGAAGAGGCCAGGAAGCAAGCACCCAGACCUAAAGUGUGCAGAGUCAUCAGGAGAAAGUGAUCUG